UGACUGUCGCUGGAGACAUGGCGCAGCAGGAAAAGUGCACCAUUGGCACAGCAGGAAAAGUGCAUCAUUGGCACAGCUGGAGAAAAGUGCACCAUUGGCACAGCAGGAGAAAAGUGCACCAUUGGCACAGCUGGAGAAAAGUGCACCAUUGGCACAGCUGGAGAAAAGUGCACCAUUGGCACAGUAGGAGAAAAGUGCACCAUUGGCACAGCUGGAGAAAAGUGCACCAUUGGCACAGCUGGAGAAAAGUGCAUCAUUGGCACAGCAGGAGAAAAGUGCACCAUUGGCACAGCAGGAGAAAAGUGCACCAUUGGCACAGCUGGAGAAAAGUGCACCAUUGGCACAGCUGGAGAAAAGUGCACCAUUGCACAGCUGGAGAAAAGUGCACCAUUGGCACAGCAGGAAAAAAGUGCACCAUUGGCACAGCUGGAGAAAAGUGCACCAUUGGCACAGCAGGAAAAAAGUGCACCAUUGGCACAGCUGGAGAAAAGUGCACCAUUGGCACAGCAGGAAAAGUGCACCAUUGGCACAGCUGGAGAAAAGUGCACCAUUGGCACAGCUGGAGAAAAGUGCACCAUUGGCACAGCUGGAGAAAAGUGCACCAUUGGCACAGCAGGAAAAAAGUGCACCAUUGGCACAGCAGGAAGAGUGCACCAUUGGCACAGCAGGAAGAGUGCACAAUUGCUCGGAAGCCGCAGGGCUGAGCGGAAGGCCCUGUUUAGAAGCGUUGUAAUGUUCAAGCUCAGAAAUGCCUUAUGUGGAUCGUCAGAAUCGCAUUUGUGGUUUUCUAGACAUCGAAGAAAAUGAAAAUAGUGGUAAAUUUCUUCGAAGGUACUUCAUACUGGACACCAGAGAAGAUAGUUUUGUAUGGUACAUGGAUAACCCACAGAACCUCCCUUCUGGAUCAUCACGGGUUGGAGCCAUUAAACUUACCUACAUUUCAAAGGUGAGCGAUGCAACUAAGCUGAGGCCAAAGGCGGAGUUCUGUUUUGUUAUGAACGCAGGGAUGAGGAAAUAUUUCCUACAAGCUAAUGAUCAGCAGGACCUAGUAGAAUGGGUCAAUGUGUUGAACAAAGCUAUAAAAA